AUUGAACGCUGGCGGCAGGCUUAACACAUGCAAGUCGAGCGGGGGAAGGUAGCUUGCUACCGGACCUAGCGGCGGACGGGUGAGUAAUGCUUAGGAAUCUGCCUAUUAGUGGGGGACAACAUCUCGAAAGGGAUGCUAACACCGCAUACGUCCUACGGGAGAAAGCAGGGGAUCUUCGGACCUUGCGCUAAUAGAUGAGCCUAAGUCGGAUUAGCUAGUUGGUGGGGUAAAGGCCUACCAAGGCGACGAUCUGUAGCGGGUCUGAGAGGAUGAUCCGCCACACUGGGACUGAGACACGGCCCAGACUCCUACGGGAGGCAGCAGUGGGGAAUAUUGGGCAAUGGGGGGAACCCUGAUCCAGCCAUGCCGCGUGUGUGAAGAAGGCCUUAUGGUUGUAAAGCACUUUAAGCGAGGAGGAGGCUACUUUAGUUAAUACCUAGAGAUAGUGGACGUUACUCGCAGAAUAAGCACCGGCUAACUCUGUGCCAGCAGCCGCAGUAA
rnacentral:rRNA from 1 species